rnacentral:misc_RNA from 1 species
UCCGCUAUAUGCGCCUUUGUAGCAGGUAACAGGCUGCAAUUUGUGUUUUAAUAUAAUCAAAUCGUAUUUAAUUGAAUUAGGAAAAAUUAGAAAAUUUCCAUGCCUUUUUCCUAACAUUCUGAUUCAUCAUUUUGAUUUAAAUGCAUUUAUUUUCAGUGCGUUUUUUAUAUAAACUAUUUGAAGUGUUAUAAAGAGUUUUUUACGGGAAGCUCUCUUUUCGUCGAGUUUUUCUUCUUCUUCUUUUUGUUGGGAUCUCCAUUUUUGUUGAGUUUUGUUAUAGGUGCUUGUUUCGAGGGAGUCUUAACGACAUAGGACUAAGUCAAAAACGUGUGUUGUUAGAAAAUCAAAAUGCAUUUGAAAAGAUGCCGGUAUAUCCUUUUGAUCAGCAGCCCUGUGGUGUUGUUUGUUAUACUUGAGAUUGAUGUAAUGUUGUAAACCCCGCAAAAUAUCUGCAAGGUGCUUGUCAGUACAUAGGGGUUUAUAAGGCCGACACGUGUGUGACGAGCUAAGAUGCUGUAAGUUCUGUUGCUGCGUAAGCGAGUGAGACAUUCAAGAGAAAUUUUUGAGGGGGCAGGGUAUAAAACGCUACCACGCAUAUCUUGAUCCUGUUCAUAUUUCAUAUCUGAUCGCAGACACGCACCAGGAAUUAGCGGUGCAUUAUAUGUAUAGCUGUAUUCACAAUGCAAGCAUUGUUACAUAUAGACUUAUUCAGUGCCACCUGCAAUGAUUCAGUAUAUUACACACACUCCGUAUUAUUUAUAUCAAUAUACGUGAACAGAUACUUUUUUUUAAAUCAAAGUGUGUCUUUCCGGAGAUUCGAAGAACGAAUGUGGUUUUUGUCACCCAAAUCCAUUGUAUCUUUAUGAAGUAAAUUGCAAGAGGGAGGGGGGUGUCAGCUUCAACAUACCUUGACACCAUUCCAAAACUCUCUCUGCAGUUUUGGUUUUCACUGGUUUACACACGCAAACCCUUGCACGCGAGAUAUAUUUUUCUUCUCGAUUUAUUCGUAAACAAGACAACCAAACUAUGCAAGAAUACAGACAACACCGGCGUUCAGUGUAUACAUGGACUUUUAUAGACGGCUUGGGGAGGGAAAGCGGAUACUGCAGUGCAGAUUCGACGAAACAGUGUUUAAGAUAAAUUACAACUGUUCAUAUUUAUUUUAUGACUGAACCUUAAAUCGAUUGUUUAGUUAGAUCUGUUUUGUGCAGUUCGCCAGCCACAACGUAAAUUUUGUAAGCCACAAAAUAUUAUCAGUAUGCGAAAUCGGUUCUCCACAACUGUCUAGCAAACUAUAACCAUUUGUCAAUUCACUGUUAUUGAUAUACUCUAUAUAUAUAUUAAUUAAGCACCUUGAUAUAGAUGACUUAGUCUACAUCUAGAUAUAGGUACACGUUACACAGCUCUAAGCAUCAGUAUACUAUGUCAACAGAUGUUGUCGUCUUCAUUAACGCAGUAGUUGAAUUAUUGACCCAGUUGUGCAAUCUACGUGUUGUCAUGCUGUUUUAUUAUAUUAUUCGGACUGACUUGUUUCUGGCAAAACUGAUCACUUAAAGUGGUCAUUGGUGUCCAAUCUACAACCAUCUAUUUAGACAAAGUUGAAUCUUGCACAUUAAUGUUGUAGCUUUGUCUCAAAAUAGGGUACCCUUUUUUAAAAUGGGUGUCAGAAACUAUCAGUCGGCACAAUAUAUUUGUCGAUGUCUGGUGUUUUGUUUUUUGUUGUUUUUUUUUUUGGUUUUUUUUUUUUGGGGGGGGGGGGGGGGGGUGUUCAUACUGCGACAAUUUAUCAAAUUUUGAGUUGUUCUAAGGUAAUUUUCGCUUCAAGUUUACCAAGAAAUGGGAGUGUGUUAACAAAUAAUAUUUUCUGUAGCUAUAAUUAAUCUUUGACAUGUCUGUCUAAAUAGAAGCUGAUUAUACAACGUAGAAAAAGAAAGCGCUGCGUUGUACUUUCUUUUCCGACACUGAUAAUUCAGCUUGGUUGUGUACAGUAUUAAACAUCUUAUUAGAUCGUGGGGUUUUUUUAUUUACAGCGGGCCUGAUCAUCCUAGGAAUUCUGAUAUUUGUGAUAGACCAAAACCGCAGUAACCUGUCCUGGGCCUUCGCCCUCUGUAUCAUCGCCGCCAUCCUCGCGCUAAUCGGCGGAAUCCUGCUGAUCGUCGACCGACGCUCCCACGUGAUCAUCAUUGGCGGAUCCAGCGGGGGCGCGGUCAGAACCACCCGUACCACCACCACCGUAACAGUGGCCAGAUAAAUCCGCUCCUAGGUAGAUCCGAUCCACAGAGGGCUUCAGACCAUUAGACUGACUAGUGUACUAACAUUAAACAUCAAACUGCUGAUUUAUCCUUGCUCGUGGUAUCCAAGAAAUGUAAAUAGCGACAGAGUUGUCGCCCUUGCAAUUCCCACGUGCAUGCCCCCAAAAUACUAGAAUACCCACGUACCUCCAAGAAUAUACUAGAAGUCUGCAGAAGAUUUUCAGCCAAGUUCAUAGAUUAUUUAGAUUUGAAAUAUGAAGUUCACGUGUAAAAAUUUGUUUCCCUAAAUUAUAAGAUGACACAUUGCUAGAUUUAUCUAUUAUCUUAUUGACCAUGUAUACUAGUAUAUGAAUUGCUGAUAUCAAAUUUUAAUGGAAUAUUGAAUUAAUUUUAAAAAAAUACACAUAAAGAUUAAAAAAAUAAUUUCUGCAUAUUAAGGAAAUAUUUCCAGAAAUUUGCAUUUGAAUGCGUGGUUUUUAUGUUGUUUAUUCUCGGGUUUUACAAGAACUGUGGGAUUUACUAUACUGCAUGCUAAAAACUUCAUUACAUCUAAAUUAACGUCCCUAAGUAUACCCUAGCUUUGCGGUGCCUAUAUUAACCAUAAAAAGACCUUAAUUAAGAUAAUUAUUGCAUUGUAUUUUUUAUGUUUUUGUAAUGUAUUUUAGAGAUUUUUUUUUUUUACAAUAUUACAGAAUUAUACUUAUCAUACAU